rnacentral:rRNA from 1 species
GACGAACGCUGGCGGCGUGCUUAACACAUGCAAGUCGAACGGACAGGCGCUGCUUUUGCGGGGUGCUCGAUUGGCGAACGGGUGAGUAACACGUGAGUAACCUCCCCUUGUCUGUGGGAUAACUUCAGGGAACUGGGGCUCAUACCGGAUAGGAGCUCCUGCUGCAUGGUGGGGGUUGGAAAGUUUCGGCGGUGGGGGAUGGACUCGCGGCUUAUCAGCUUGUUGGGGAGGUAGUGGCUGACCAAGGCUAUGACGGGUAGCCGGCCUGAGAGCGUGACCGGGCACCUUACGACUGAGAUAGGGACCAGACUCCAACCGGCCGCAGCAGUGGAGAAUAUUGCGCAGUGAGCGCACGUCUGAUGCAGAAACGCCCGGUGCGUGAUGCCGGGUUUCGGGUUGAAAACCGAUGUCGACUGUGACGAAGCGUGCGUGACGGUAAUGGGUAAGGAAGCACCGGCUAACAACGUG